CAACAGUAGUACCAUGAACACAACAGAGGCGGGUGAGAGAUAAACAGGUAAGUCACUUUUUUGUGUUUAGGAGGUAAAUUCUGGCUAUUUUCAGAUAUUUAAUCAUUAUAGAUGCUGUAUAUUAUGAGAUGCUAAUAUAGAUGUCUUAAACAGCACAAAAAGAAAGCUGACAAAAGUGUCAAACCUCAAACCAAAACUUGUAGCUACUCAAUGAUAAUAGUUAAUUGUCUUAUAAAUAACUGUCACAAACUUCCAGAAUAUACUUUGUUUAUGUACUAUUUCAUACAUUUGAGACAUUGAAUCAAAAUGACUGAAAACUAUGACAUUAAAACCCACCUCAAUCAAAACAAAGCAAGUGCACCUACAGUUACAGUAUUAUACCUGAAAAGGUUUUGAAUCUAAGAGUUCUGUGAAAUGAUUGAUCACAUUGCAUGAGGCUGAUGUUGGUUCAAUAGAUUUCUUAUGAGUUACAAGGAAACAAUUGGAGAAUUCCAGUAACGUGUAAUCACUGUAAAGCAGUCUGUGGAACUGACCCUUGAUCCUAUAAACACUGGGAGACAACUUGACUUUAUGACUCAAUUGUUAUUGUUCUUGUGAAAUAGUACAUCUCUCUCUCUCCCCCUCUGUCUUUAUCCCUCUCUCACCCUUACUUCCUCAUUUCUCUCUCUCUCUCUCUCUCUCUCUCUCUCUCUCUCUCUCUCUCUCUCUCUCUCUCUCUCUCUCUCUCUCUCUCUCUCUUUCUCUCUCUCUGUCUCUAUUUCUCUCUUUCUCUCUCCCUCCUCUCCAUAGACCGUAAUGCAGCAGCCUAAUAACCACAGCAGCCGGUCUCCUAAGGACAAGAGCCUGGAGACUGUGGAGGCUACCCACUCAGCACCCUGGAAUAAAUCACAACUCCUCAACAGCAAGGGGAGGGACUUUGAGAAAUGGGAUGCACACCAUUCAGAACCAUGGAACAAGCCUCGUCUCAGCAACACCAAAGUGGGUUCUAUGGACAAAAAACAUAUCAGGGAGAGGAUGAUAUUGUGUGUUGUGUGUUACUAACCUACCUGGGUGGUGUGUUAUAUUAACCUACCUGGGUGGUGUGUUAUAUGAACCUACCUGGGUGGUGUGUUAUAUUAACCUACCUGGGUGGUGUGUUAUAUUAACCUACCUGGGUGGUGUGUUAUAUUAACCUACCUGGGUGGUGUGUUAUAUUAACCUACCUGGGUGGUGUGUUAUAUUAACCUACCUGGGUGGUGUGUUAUAUUAACCUACCUGGGUGGUGUGUUAUAUUAACCUACCUGGGUGGUGUGUUAUAUUAACCUACCUGGGUGGUGUGUUAUAUUAACCUACCUGGGUGGUGUGUUAUAUGAACCUACCUGGGUGGUGUGUUAUAUUAACCUACCUGGGUGGUGUGUUAUAUUAACCUACCUGGGUGGUGUGUUAUAUUAACCUACCUGGGUGGUGUGUUAUAUUAACCUACCUGGGUGGUGUGUUAUAUGAACCUACCUGGGUGGUGUGUUAUAUUAACCUACCUGGGUGGUGUGUUAUAUUUUAACCUACCUGGGUGGUGUGUUAUAUUAACCUACCUGGGUGGUGUGUUAUAUUAACCUACCUGGGUUGUGUGUUACACGAACCUACCUGGGUUGUUUUGCUCACAGCCUGGCCUAGAACAUAUGCACACGUUCCAGGAGUGUCUACAGCUCAUCGAGGAGCUAGCCAAGGAGGUGAAGGACAUCAGUAAGGUACGACAAUCUCCACCUGUACAGAUGUAGGAUCUUAAUUUCAGCCAGUUUUCUACAGCAGGAAAAUAAUCCUGCAGCAACCGAAAAUGUGAAUUAUUACGUGAAUUAUUAUGAAUGGACAUCUUUGGGGGGUUGAUAUAUUUUUUGUAAGGACGAAUCAAGUAUUACACUUCGCAGUGGAAUAUACAAACUUCAGAAGCCUUUUUAAACCUCAAAUACAGUACAACUUUAAAAUGUCCUGCAUUGCAGGAAAGUUCUCCUCUAUACGAGGGAUCAAAUUAAGUUAAAUUAAUUUAUCUGUACACGUAACUCUAACUUUCACAAUCUCACAUUGACAUAAACACAUAGCUCUAUGGAAAAGUUUGCAUUCACUCACACAGUUUGUCAAACCUAAAAUUUCAAUUCAGUGAUCAAUAUGUGAC
ensembl:lncRNA